GUAAAUGCAGUGAUUGGGAAAAGUACAAUGGGAUACUACUUUAUCAGAGGUAUUUAUCAUACUUCUUCAGAGAGGGAAAUCAAUAGCUGAAAGAUUUCCUAAGAGAGAACAUUGGAAAAGUCACCCAUGAGUAGCUUCUGUGAAACAUAGCGGAGUAAUGGAAGCCGGCGAAGAGCCGUUAUCUUACAUAAGUGCCAGAAACAGUUCUUUUAAUGCUGUUUCUGUGAAAAAAGGUGGUACCGCGAAAAUCGCUCCCUUCGUCCUUUUG
rnacentral:ncRNA from 1 species